rfam:Myotis davidii contig229220, whole genome shotgun sequence.
GGGGGUAUAGCUCAGGGGUAGAGCAUUUGGCUGCAGAUCAAGAGGUCCCUGGUUCAAAUCCAGGUGCCCCCU